GCUGGUUAAGUUCUCAACAACACUUUUUAGGCCGGGAUUCUGGAGUUUCAAUGGAUUGAAUGAGAGAUCAAGGGAAACCAAGUUGGAGAGCUCAAAGAUUUCUGGUGGAAUUUGACCACUGAAGGCAGACAUAGAGAGGUUGAGAUAUGUUAAGUUUGAGAGGUACCUGAUGCUUGGGGGAAUUUGAGAAUAAUUGAAGUCAUUAUCAGCGAGAUUGAGCUUUUGAAGGUACACAAGGUGGAAAAGGCUGCUGCUAGAGUUGAAGGAGCCAUACAGUUGACUGCUACUGAGGUCAAGGCCAAUCACGUAACCUGUACCUCUGUCACAUAGGACACCAUCCCAUGAACAGCAAUCAUUCCUUCCUCCAGAG